rnacentral:rRNA from 1 species
GAUGAACGCUGGCGGCGUGCCUAAUACAUGCAAGUCGAGCGAACAGACGAGGAGCUUGCUCCUCUGACGUUAGCGGCGGACGGGUGAGUAACACGUGGAUAACCUGCCUAUAAGACUGGGAUAACUUCGGGAAACCGGAGCUAAUACCGGAUAAUAUAUUGAACCGCAUGGUUCAAUAGUGAAAGACGGUUUUGCUGUCACUUAUAGAUGGAUCCGCGCCGCAUUAGCUAGUUGGUAAGGUAACGGCUUACCAAGGCAACGAUGCGUAGCCGACCUGAGGGGGUGAUCGGCCACACUGGAACUGAGACACGGUCCAGACUCCUACGGGAGGCAGCAGUAGGGAAUCUUCCGCAAUGGGCGAAAGCUUGACGGAGCAACGCCGCGUGAGUGAUGAAGGUCUUCGGAUCGUAAAACUCUGUUAUUAGGGAAGAACAAAUGUGUAAGUAACUAUGCACGUCUUGACGGUACCUAAUCAGAAAGCCACGGCUAACUACGUG